GACGAACGCUGGCGGCGUGCCUAAUACAUGCAAGUAGAACGCUGACGCGAGGAGCUUGCUCUUCUUGGAUGAGUUGCGAACGGGUGAGUAACGCGUAGGUAACCUGCCUUGUAGCGGGGGAUAACUAUUGGAAACGAUAGCUAAUACCGCAUAACAAUGGAUGACACAUGUCAUUUAUUUGAAAGGGGCAAUUGCUCCACUACAAGAUGGACCUGCGUUGUAUUAGCUAGUAGGUGAGGUAAUGGCUCACCUAGGCGACGAUACAUAGCCGACCUGAGAGGGUGAGCGGCCACACUGGGACGGAGACACGGCCCAGACUCCUGCGGGAGGCAGCAGUAGGGGAUCUUCGGCAAUGGGGGCAACCCUGACCGAGCAACGCCGCGUGAGUGAAGAAGGUUUUCGGAUCGUAAAGGUCUGUUGUAAGUCAAGAACGGGUGUGAGAGUGGAAAGUUCACACUGUGACGGUAGCUGACCAGAAAGGGACGGCUAACUACGUG
rnacentral:rRNA from 1 species